rnacentral:rRNA from 1 species
GACGAACGCUGGAGGCGUGCUUAACACAUGCAAGUCGAACGAAGUGGCAAACGGGUGAGUAACGCGUAAUCAACCUGCCCUUCAGAGGGGGACAACAGAUGGAAACGACUACUAAUACCGCAUACUGAGGGCGGGGAGUGCGUUUGGUUGGCUAGUGGGAGGGGUAACGGCACAACAAGGCGAUGAUGAGUAGCCGGUCUGAGAGUAUGAACGGCCACAUUGGGCCUGAGACACGGCCCAGACUCCUACGGGAGGCAGCAGUGGGGAAUCUUCCGCAAUGGACGAAAGUCUGACGGAGCAACGCCGCGUGAGUGAUGACGGCCUUCGGGUUGUAAAGCUCUGUUAAUCGGGACGCGGUACCGGAAUAGAAAGCCACGGCUAACUACGUGCCAGCAGCCGCGGUAAUUC